ACUCCUACGGGAGGCAGCAGUGGGGAAUUUUGGACAAUGGGCGAAAGCCUGAUCCAGCAAUGCCGCGUGAGUGAAGAAGGCCUUCGGGUUGUAAAGCUCUUUUGUCAGGGAAGAAACGGUGAGAGCUAAUAUCUUUUGCUAAUGACGGUACCUGAAGAAUAAGCACCGGCUAACUACGUGCCAGCAGCCGCGGUAAUACGUAGGGUGCAAGCGUUAAUCGGAAUUACUGGGCGUAAAGCGUGCGCAGGCGGUUUUGUAAGUCUGAUGUGAAAUCCCCGGGCUCAACCUGGGAAUUGCAUUGGAGACUGCAAGGCUAGAAUCUGGCAGAGGGGGGUAGAAUUCCACGUGUAGCAGUGAAAUGCGUAGAUAUGUGGAGGAACACCGAUGGCGAAGGCAGCCCCCUGGGUCAAGAUUGACGCUCAUGCACGAAAGCGUGGGGAGCAAACAGGAUUAGAUACCCUGGUAGUCCCA
rnacentral:rRNA from 1 species